GCUUGCUUUCUUGCUGACGAGUGGCGGACGGGUGAGUAAUGCUUGGGAAUCUGGCUUAUGGAGGGGGAUAACUACUGGAAACGGUAGCUAAUACCGCGUAAUCUCUUAGGAGUAAAGGGUGGGACUUUCGGGCCACCUGCCAUAAGAUGAGCCCAAGUGGGAUUAGGUAGUUGGUGGGGUAAAGGCCUACCAAGCCGACGAUCUCUAGCUGGUCUGAGAGGAUGGCCAGCCACACUGGAACUGAGACACGGUCCAGACUCCUACGGGAGGCAGCAGUGGGGAAUAUUGCACAAUGGGGGGAACCCUGAUGCAGCCAUGCCGCGUGAAUGAAGAAGGCCUUCGGGUUGUAAAGUUCUUUCGGUGAUGAGGAAGGUGAUUGUUUUAAUAGAACAGUCAAUUGACGUUAGUCACAGAAGAAGCACCGGCUAACUCCGUGCCAGCAGCCGCGGUAAUACGGAGGGUGCGAGCGUUAAUCGGAAUAACUGGGCGUAAAGGGCACGCAGGCGGAUUGUUAAGUGAGAUGUGAAAGCCCCGAGCUCAACUUGGGAAUUGCAUUUCAGACUGGCAGUCUAGAGUAUUUUAGGGAGGGGUAGAAUUCCACGUGUAGCGGUGAAAUGCGUAGAGAUGUGGAGGAAUACCGAAGGC
rnacentral:rRNA from 1 species